CAUUUUGCUGCUGUUGAGCCUCAGUUUGUUCUCCUCACUAAGCAACAGUAGUGCAGGUCUGACUUAAUGCCAUGGAAACUAUUUUGUUCCAGUGCUUGGAACACUUUGUUGUACAACAUACUAGCGCUAAUUGCUGGCAAACAAAAUUACUUUGAGUAUCAAAAAAAUAAUAAUAAUCAAAUUUGAGAGGGUAAUUAAGAGUCGGAAUGCUCAAGAGAAAACCUUCCUUUUUAUUUUCAUUUUUGGUGGAGAUAGAAAGUAAGGAGGAGAUCUUCCUAUCUCUUUUAAAUAUGAAAUAAAGUUAGAAACGAGACCUUAAAAAAAGAUAAAAAGACAAAGAAAAAUGAAAAAGUAUUUUUAUUGGCAGAAAUGAAAAAAGCUAAAUGCAAGAGUUUCAUUUCAGAAAAACUGGAUUGAUGGACCUACAGAAGGCAGACUUCAUGUGCCAGUGGACUCCUGAAUUUGUUGGAACGAGAUCAAGAAAAAGCUGAAGGAAUUACAAGAGUACAACUACUGAUGCUAGAAGUAAUAGUGAACUCUUAAUACGGCUGAAGAUCUGCUGUGUAUAUAGGUAUGAUAACAACUCUGUUUGCUUUCUGUCCCUCAUUAAUGCUAAAACACAGGGCAGAUUUUUGUCCUUGCAAAAGUCAUCUAAAAGCAUUAUAUGUAUUCCAAGCCUCAUGACUACUACAUGUGGUACUCUGAUAAAUACGUGUUUAUAGGCACCAGUGAACUUCCAUUGCUUACAGUAAAUACUGUAAAUUGUAAAUAGCGUUUAAAUUGAAUCCUUUACAUCUGUGAAUGCUAUGAAAAACCGAGGAUAAAUUCUAAAUAAAAGCUGUUAUACGAUAAACUUACUGAUGUUUCCCACACAAGUCUCUAUUUUGUUGCUGUGAUACAUGUUCAAAGGCUUUAUGCCUUUACAUUUAGGACAUGUACAUAAAUAUAUGAUUCUUGUUUUCUUCCAAAGUGAAUGACUCAGUAUUUAUAUCCCUAUAUGAUGCAUAUGUGUUCCUUUUGCAUCUUUUUGUCACUGUAAAUCUUUCUAUGAAGAUUUUGCUUUCAAGUGGGAACAUAACUGGAGAUUUGCAAAAGCAAACCGUGGCUUAACAUUGGUCAGCUACUCUGGAAGAGAGGGCAGAUGUGGAGGAGAGAUCAUAACUACCCAGAAGAAAAAGCCACACAGAAAUGUCAAUACAAUGCAGGACCCUCGGGUAAUGAGACUGCUUAGUUGUGGGGACCAAGCUGCUAUCUCUACUAAAUGUUUGUGAUUGUGUUAGGCUGUAUUUUGGUGUUGAUUUCUCUAUGAAACUUACUUGUUUUUAUUUAAAAGGCAAAAUAUCUCAGCAAAGCAGAGGCCCUAUAUGGGCCAAAAGAAUAAAAUUCCUCACAUCCAUCACAGAUUUUGUAUAUUCGGUGUGUAAACCAUGAAAUGGCACUGAUAGAACAACAGUCUGGUAUUUAUUGUAUUUCCUUUGUUCUUCCGAAAGGAAAAAUGCUGAGAGAAGAUGCAAAAACGUGCACUUUUGAAAUAUCACACAGAUGCCAGAUCACGUUUUGCUGUGGAGUGAUCCCACUAGUUUUUUUAGCAAGGAAUUUGGUUCCCCCAAAAGAAGAGACAACACCAAACAUGUCUAUCUACUCUCUGGAAAUGAGAGAAUCCCUGGCACUGACAUAAAGUGUCACCAUACACAGAAAGCCACAUCUUCGUGGCUUCCCAGUCCACACUCCUUCUGUGAGGGUACACAGCGGGAUAAAGGUUUUAUUUAUUAAUAAUAAGUGCCCAAAAAUAGGCAUACAACUAAAUUCUUCACCUGUAUAAAGCAGAGAAAACUGGAGAAGAAGGAAGAAGAAGGAAGGAAGUUAAUAAUAAAAAAGAGAAGGCAAGAACUGGGCACGAGGAGUGGCCAAGAUCAAUAUUUCUAGAAGAUUAGAUUAUAAACUGAGAAAGAAGAAAGGAACCAAUUACUGGAUCAAAGAAUAAAAAAACUCUGGCAAUAAAUUAAAGUGAUGAAAAUGAAUUAAAAAUUGCAGUGCUGUUAAUCAUGUGCAGUUAUGUGAGGUUAGUAGAAUCAUAGAUUGUAUUAAUCUGGUCGGAGCUGUGAACUAAUUAGUGAAGUGGAAUACAGCUGGAAAGUCAUGCAGGAACCAUGAGACAGUAUACAGACAUUGGUAAAAUGUACAUAAGAAUGAGUUUUCCUGCAGUUAUAUUUUAUUGCAUGGGUGCUGAUCAUGAGUGAAUACGGUUAAGUUGUCCAUAUCAAAUCGAUUAGAAGUGCUUUGCUGAUCUUUUCCUCUCUAACCUCAGGCUACUUAACCUCGUAUUUAAUAAUAAUUCACUCCCUCUACAUCCUGCCUUCCUCCUGCUGACAAGGUCCAAGUCAGAUCAACUGAUCCAUCAUGAUUUGGCUUUAGAGUUGCAGAGUUCAGCAGAUCAUAAUCACAAAAGAGACAAUUACAAUGGGAUAAAAAUGGCCACUCUAAGAGGGGCACAGUUUUAAGGAGACCAGAGGUCUGCCAUUGGCUGGCUUCUGAAACCCAAUGUAUAGCUUAAUAGGGUCCUGUAUGCUCUCUGCUAUGCUAAUAGCAGACCUAAACAUUUUGAAGAGUUGCCACACCAAUAAGGGAGUCUUCCACAAAGUAGCAUAUCAAGAAACACUGAUGGAGAAGUUUAGGACACAACUAUGAAAUUGCUUUUCACUGUCAGAGUCAGAUAACUAAAUACAACCUUGCUAACUAGACACAACCUGGCCCAGAAUGCCUGAACACUCAUUCCAUUUCAAAGUAACUUCAAAACAUUGAAUUAACUGAAUACUGUCUCCAUCAAGCUUACAUUUUUCUAGUUCCACUGACUUUGUGAAACUAGUUACUUAUGACUUUUAUUAGUCUGAAACUGAAUUAAGCUCUAAUAUCCUAUCAUAUUUUAAGCACAUGGAUGGAUCAUAUAGGGGCUCCUCCCUUUGGAAUGACAGUUUUACAAAACCUGCAGUGCAUGCAGGUGACAUCUGACUAUUACUUUUUAAAUUGAUUUGUUGCCUACCUGUACAGCUAAAUAAGAAACUUGUAGUGAUUUGCUGAGGAUAUCCAGAUGUUCUGCUUUUCUCCCUACAUGGGCUGGUCCCUCUAGCUGCACACCAGCUUUGGAUCUUAUAAAAGUUAAUAUUAAGGAAAGAAAAAAGAACUUUUCUGUCACUAAUUUCUCUCUUAUUUUUCCAAUGAAAUUUGAGCUUUCAGUAGAUAUGGAGAAGGUGGCUACAAUAUAUCAGCUACAAGCACUGGUGAGGAGUAAGACAGAUUAAAAAGUAGACAGAAACCAGGAAAAGAGCGAUGAAAAAGCUCCAAAAAUCUGCUUUAGAAUGAUUCCUAAAUGCAUUAAAUGGAUCAGGUUUUUUUUUGUUUUGUUUUUGUUUUUUUUUUUUUUCAGGCCAGUUCAGCAAAUUCUGGCAGGGUAAACAUUGGAGAUACCUCUGAGAGCCUGGAGAUUUGAAGACCCCCAGCCGAGGUAUAAGAUGUUCUAGAAAACAGUAUCAGCAUGAUAAAAGCUUCUGGUGAUUCUGGCUACAGCAUCUCUUAGAAGGUCCAAAGAAGCCAUGUCUUUGGUAGUCUGUUGCUGGGCUCACCAAGGUCCAAUGCCAGAGAAGUAUCACGCAGCACAAUUUGGGAAGGCGCUCAACACUGUCAUUGUGUGAAAUGGUAAAAACAUAUGUGCUUUCCUGAUUUUUCCAAUGGACAACGUGUAGGAUGAGAAGAUCAGCUUUAUCUAUAGCAUGUGGGAGAAUUAUUACUGCACUUCUAUUCUGGCCUCAGUUUCUCACCACUCUCCCUGAAGAGGACAGAAGGAAGAAUCAUCAGCCUCUAUGAAGAAAAAAAAUGAAAAUUAAUAAUAAUAACACACACACACAAAAAAACAAAAAAACAACCUACAAACAACCACAAAACCAGACCAAACAUGCAGAAAUGCAUCUUUCUGAGACUGUUUUUCUAGUGUGUCCAUGGUCUGUGCUGUUUGCUUUGGCUCAGAGAGCUCAGGAGGUCUGUGUCAUCCUUAUACAUUUCCCAAACUAAGAUAUCACAGGUCUGGCAUCCUUUCUUCUCCUUCAUAUUCUUCUUGAAGUUCCCUGUCCUUCACAGUAUAAGUAGCCUUUCCCUAAAUUCCGACCUGGCUCCAUGAUAGUGUGUCAUUCUCUCCUACUCCCUGAUCUGUUUUCAAUAAAUAUUUCUUCUAAAUGAACAUAACUAAUUCCACAAAGGGAAAACUAUUUCUUAAAGCAUCUACUGCUGCCUCAUUUCCAACCACAUGACACAGGCAGAUGAACCAGACAUAUGCUACAUCCACCUCAUAUGAUAUGAAAGCAGACCUAUUUCAUGGCAUUGGAGAGGAGGAUGAAAUAGCUACUACUCACCCUUCUGCUUCAUGUUGCAGCCAUACGUUCCUGCUUCUAUUUGCCAUGUCAUUCACCUGCAUGGCAAUCACCUCUCUGGUGGUAGUGGGUAUGUUUGGCAUAGGCUGCCCAGGCCUUUCCAGACCAAGGAACUAACAAAUAAUAUAAUCUUUCUGUCCUUUAAACUCUGUCAAAGUAGUGUCAUGGAAUGAAUCUGGUGAAAGCAAUCUUGGCCACUGUCACUUUACAAGCACCUUCAUGCCACGGCCUUUCAAAGCUUGCUCCAGCAUAUUGGCUUGGUUGAUUGAAUCACAAAUGCGUCUUUCCCAAAUGACAACCACAGACCCCUGAGUUACUCCUAGAUUUCAUGUUCUUAUUGUUCGUCUAAAAGAGAAUCAUAAUUUCCUUUAUUAGACAACUACCUUUUAUCGUGCCUCUUUUGCUCCAUGUCAUAAGAAAUGCAUGACCUGUAAGUCUUACAAUGAUAGCUGUGUGUACAACUAUCUCUGUUGGUUAAAAGACUGACCUAUGUUUUAUUAAUAUUUAUAGAUAUAAAUUUUUAAUACACAACAAUUCUGCAUUAUUGAAUAGGUGACUUCCUGCGUCUUAAUGGUUAUGGAAUAGGAGUGGGCUCCUUGUAGUUAACAUUGCAAUACAUUUUUCAUUAUUAAAUAUAAAGCUGCUACUUCUAACCUCCUCAAAAAAAGAAAUCCCCUCAGAAAACAUGUUGGUACUAUGGUGUAAAUUCUCUCAGGAGGUAUAGAAUUUAUUUGUGACAAGUUUGCCUAAGGGAUUUAGAUUUAUGGCACAAGAGUUUCCCAUAGCUGGAAAAAGUUAAUAAGUUUCUCUUUAAAGUUGCUAAAUUAUUCGAGCAUUUGGGAUCACUUACUCAGUUUUGGAGAUGGCUGCAUUCUUAUUUGCAAAUUGAUCUUCAUGUUUUAGAAGGUGAAUGUUGCUAAAAUAAGAUAUUCCAACCAUUCAGUUCUUGGACUAAGAUUAGGAUGUAGAUUCAGGCUUUUGUAAAUUUAAGGUCUUUAAUAGUUGCUGCAUUGUAAAGUAAUUGCAUUUUAGAGGACAACUUGGGAUUUCCAAGGAGUUACAUAAAAAUAUGGACCGUAUGGCAUAAGAAGGUCAGUUUAUUUCUUAGGAAAAAGAAACAAAGCAAUUAGUCACAACAGUCACGUUCUAAUUCUUCUCUGCCAGCUAAAUAUUCUAUCAAUAAUGUCAAGGUCCAGUUUGUGCAUUUUUGUGAUAGUAAGACUUUCAGUGGUGGCACAUGAACAGUGAAGAAGAGUUUCUCUGGACUAACAAACUUGACAGCAUUUCACCAUUAGACGGGUUGUGUUGUUCACAGGCUGUUAUUGAAAAAAGGACCAUUGUGUUCUUCAAAUAAAAGUGUCAGUCCAAUGAAUUUUCAUUUAGGAAGGGAUGCUCCAUGUGAAUACCACAAUCACAGAGUAGUCUAGUAUAAUCAGUAGUUGAUUCUCUUAGACCGUCUCUUAAUGUCAAAUUUGUACUGCAUAAAAAUUAGUCAAGUCAAGCUUUUUCUUCUCAGAAUCUUCAAUAUGGUUCAAACUGGGACAGUUUGGAUUUUUUUAAUGAUGAAAUACUCAUCUUGAAAAAUCUGUUUGCCGUAUCAGCCUUCUUUUAUGUUUCAUUUUAAUAUAUAACUUUCAACUACAA